GCGGCUGCCCCGGUGGAGAGUUUCCAGGGGAAGGCCCUCGCCCUUCCGCCUGGCCCUGCCAAGCCCUGCAGCCUCCGAGGUCCAGCCUGUGGACCCUCAGUGCAGCCUGCUGGAGAGUCCAGGCAUCCGCCAAGCUACGUGUCCACCUGGGCGCUCGCUCAGAGGCUGGUGGCCUCUAGCCACAGAUACAGGCACGACUUCAGAGGCCUACUCAGGAACCAGCCCUGUUCGUCACCUAUUUGAAUCUCACCAUCUCCAUUCGGUGGAACAGCCCUCACACUGGAACAGGUCAUGGGACGCAAGGACAGCGUGACUCUCCCGAUGGGGUGCAGCGAGAAGGGCACCACAACAUCAGGUGCAUUUAACCUGAGUCUGAUCAAGAGGAAAUGGCGGAGGAACCCAAAUUGAGAGAUCUCCUACAAAAAUAGCUAGUCAUUUCAUAAAAAAGUCAAUGUCAUGAAAUACAAAGACUUGGGAACUAAAGAGCCAUGAUGACUAAAUGUAACCCACGGUCUAGAAUCACAGGAGAAGCAGGACUAUAGCGUCGAUAGCAGAAUUCUAUCGGCUAGUUUCCUGAUUUUGAUCACUGUACUGUGAUGAUAAAUAAAUGUCUUCAAAAAGAA